GACGAACGCUGGCGGCGUGCUUAACACAUGCAAGUCGAACGGAAAGGCCCUGCUUUUGUGGGGUGCUCGAGUGGCGAACGGGUGAGUAACACGUGAGUAACCUGCCCUUGACUUUGGGAUAACUUCAGGAAACUGGGGCUAAUACAGGAUAGGAGCUCCUGCUGCAUGGGGGGGGUUGGAAAGUUUCGGCGGUUGGGGAUGGACUCGCGGCUUAUCAGCUUGUUGGUGGGGUAGGUGCUUACCAAGGCUUUGACGGGUAGCCGGCCUGAGAGGGUGACCGGCGACCUUGGGACUGAGAUACGGCCCAGACUGCUACGGGAGGCAGCAGUGGGGAAUAUUGCGCAAUGGGCGGAAGCCUGAUGCAGCAACGCCGCGUGCGGGAUGCCGGCCUUCGGGUUGUAAACCGCUUUCGCCGGUGACGAAGCGUGAGUGACGGUAAUGGGUAAAGAAGCACCGGCUAACUACGUG
rnacentral:rRNA from 1 species